GCCCAAGGCGAGGAGACGCGUGGGCAUUGUCGCCGUCGCCGUCCCACUCCUUGGUCCCCCCACCCCCACCCCGCAGAUGGUAUCGUCCCGGCUCUUCCCCGCCAGGGCCCCUAGCCGCGGGGGCAAGAUGGCGGCCGCCACGGAGGGUCUCCUGCCGGCCGGUCGUCACGGCUACUGCUGACCCAGCAUCAGCUUUCCUCCUUCCAGAACCUGGCUUCGAGCAGGGGUUGGGAAGGGCAGUGGACGGCGUUGGGGGAGGCCCGCGAGGCAAGUGGGAGCGGGAGGACGGAGUGAGCCAUUGCAUGGGGGGAGGGGGCGUCCUCGGCCUUAGGCAGAGCCCGGCUCCGACUCCCACCCGGUCUCUCCCGAGGACGUGCUCCGCGGUGCCGGCUGCCACUGCCCUGGUGGCCCCCAGCAGAAGUGGAGGGACAGACAAGUGACUUUUCCGUGGGUCGAAGACUCCGCGGUCGUUUGCGGCCGUGCGUGCGGUUCACUCCCUCUUUUCCGCGGUCCCCGCUGCGCGCUCGGUCUCCUGGCGCUGGACGAGUUAAUCCCACGCCGGCUUUGGCUCCUUCUCCUCGUGGCGCCGCGCCCUCGUCCUCCCCACCCGGGGUCUUGCGGUCUUCUCGGGCUCAGAGACCUCGAGGCUACUAAGACCUUUCCAAAGACCUUUCAGAUGUUUGUACCGUGCUUAAUUAGAAUUGUCUCGGCCCUCUGCAGCCUCCCACCAUGGUCCUCGAGCGCUUCCACUACCUGCACUUUGCCAAGACCUCAUUCUUUCUUACCUUUGUACUCUUUAACGUGCUGUUCAGAAAACAGUUCAGGCUAGCUUAGUCCCUGGCAAAUCUGGCCUCCUGUGAUCAGGCGGACCUGAGCCAUCAUUUAUUGCGCAUCCCCGAAUUUUUUAUUUUACAACCAACUCCCUUGACCCUGUCAUGAAGGGCUGCUUUCCUUGAAUGACUAGGAAGAGAUGCCACCCCAGCCUCACGCAGUGAGUUCCGAGGCUAACCCAGACCCCUUCCUUUUUCCUUGGAUUUUGCCUACUUCUCGGUUGUCAUCAAUUUGCAUGAUCAUUAUGGAGAGAGGGAGUAACUGAUUAUAUAUAUAUAUAUAUAUAUAUAUAUAUAUAUAUAUAUAUAUAUGUAUCUAUGUAUAUAUUUGAGUUGAGGUAGUGUUGGUCAAAAUCAGUGCCCUGGAGGAAUUUACGAUAAGGUAAUGAUUCACUCCGGUCAGCGGACUGUGCUGUGAGCACACUGUGCUUGGUAGUGGAGAUAAAAAGAUACCACUUUACCCUUCUUCUGUACAUUUGACAGCUAACAAAUAUUCUUCGUGCCUUCUUUCUGCUUAGUAAAAAAUAACCAACUUUAUCUGGGGACCAUGAAGAAGGUUUAUAAAAGUAAAUGUUUGAGCUGGGCCAUGAAGAAUCAAAAGGAAUUUGCUAAACUCGGGAGGACACAAUCACUCCUGAAUCUAAAACAGAACUGAAAACUUAAGUCUGGGCAUAGUUAGGGAGAGUGGGAAAAUAAAUGGUGCUUGAGCAGGCAGUGCAGGGUGGGGUUGAUGAAGCAAGACGUAGGUUGAAAGCAGCUUGUGAAUGAUCCUGAUUUCUAGCCAAGGGGUUCAGGUUUUAUCCAGUAGUUAGCAGGAAGCCAGUAGAUCCUUAGAGCAAGAGGUGGGCAGGGGGAUAUUUGUUUCUUAAAAUGGGCUCAUUGAAAACUGUGUGGAAGAUCCACUUGGAACAGGAAAACUAGAUGAGAGGAAAUUUCAGUCAUUCAGAUAAGACACUGAGUGUCUCUACUGAGUCAGGACAGUAAAGGAUGUCAGACUAAGUAAAUGCCAAUUAGGAUUUAACUCCUGGCCACUAAUUAGCUGAUAAGACCCUAGUUUUCAGUCUGGGAGACUAUAUGGUCAGCAGUAAUAUUAAAGUCCAGUGUGAGACAUGUACAUAAAAACAGGGUGGUGUCAGCCUGGUCUGCAGGAGUGGCAAAACACAGUGCUCCACAGUUGAAGGUGUUGAUUUUAGAGUCUAGACCUGCACUUUUACAGUAGCAACGGUCACUUGAGGUAUUGAGCACUGGCCAGUGGUUAGUUUGAAUUAAGGUGUGCUGAAAAUAAAAAGUACGCCUGGGUUUUGAAGACUUAGUACAAAAAAGCAAUGUAAAGAAUCUUAAUUUUUAAAAAAUGAUUACAUAUUGAAAUGAUAGUAUUUUGGACUUACUGGGUUAAAUAAAAUAUUUUACCUGUUUAUACUUUUUAGUGUGACUGAAAAAAAUUAAAGGGACAUCUGUGGCAUGUGUUAUAUUUCUGUUGACAACUAGUCUGGUCUAAAUUUAUGAGGGGGCAAUUGAUCAGAAGGUGGCAUUUGAGCUGGACCUUGAGAGAUGUGGUGAGCGGUGAUGUCCAGGCAGCUUCCUAGGACCCUACAUUGCCAGUUAAAGCAUUCAGGUUAUUUUGCUUUUUUUCCUCAGACAGUAAGAAACCAACAAACAUUUCUGAGCAAGGGGUAAUGUGUAUAGGGAUGUUUCUGAGGCUAAUCUGGCAGCAUUGUUUAAAUUGAGAGGAAGGAAAGAAAAGCUGGAGGCAGAGAAAUGGAGAAACUCAUAUAAGGUAAUAAGGCUCACAUUUAAGUACUGGCAGUAGGAACAGAAAGGGAAUGAUAUGUGUGCAAGGCAUUCUGGGGGAGAAGUAAUUUGGAAUUGGUAGCAGUCCAAGGGAAAGUAAAAGGAAGAACCAUUUUCAAACCUUGGUUACCUAGUAUUAAUAUUUCAAUUACAAAAUUUAUUUGGGGCUGAAGAAAUUUAGUCCCAAAACAGAACCAGCAGAGAGGAGGAAGUAGUCUGCUAAAUUCUCUCUCUUCAUCUCCCUGCUGUUAUCUGUUCAAUCAUACCUACCAACUAAUUUUCCUAAACUACAGAAUUAACAUUUUUCAACUUGUUAAUGAAUCUUAAAAUGUUUCUCUUUUUCCUGAGAACUAGCUCCAGGGUUUCCAGGGCCCUUCAUUAUCUGGCUUCUCUCUGUUUAUUAGAACUUAUUUUUUUCCUUUUAUUUUUUGAUUAUAUGAAAGUAUGCCAGGUUAGGUUUUUCACUGAUAUUGUUUUUGUUUUGAACCUUUGCUCAUUAUCCCUGUUUUGAAUACCUUCUUUCUACCUCGUUUCCACAGCUCCUUAAUGAAUAAUCAUAGAUCCCACCUCUUCUGUGACUCUCAAUUAUAGAAGCUAUUUAGAAAUUUUAAAAUUUUAUUUCUUAAGCUUUAUACUUAAGCCCCUGAUUAUUACCAACAUGUCUCAUUAUUACUUAUUUUUAUUGCUUUAUUAUCCCUAUUCAUUUAUGUAUAAGUUUAGAAAUUUAUACAAAUUCCUAAGAUUAUGUUUCUUUUUAAAAAAUGAAACAUAUAUAUUAUAUAACUUGCCUCUGCUUAUGUAUAUUAGGGGAAGAUAUACAAGUUAAAGUGCUAUAAUUAUAAACAUAAGUAAAUCAUACCACAUUUAUGAGAUUCUUUAUUUAUUUUGUAGAUUUAUAAGGAACUCUUCCUCUGAAUUCAUGGUGUUUCAUCAUAUAUACAACUGAAAAAUCAGUAAGUACUUUAUGUCUGAUAAAGAUACAGCUUAAUAUCCAGGUGUGCUGGUAUGUACCUGUAAUCCUAGCCAUUCAGGAGGCUGAGGCAAGAGAAAGGCAAGUUCAGUGCCAGCAUGGGCAAUUCAGUUAGACCAUGUCUCAAAUAAAAAAGGCCUGGGAAUAUAGCUCAGUAGUAGAGUACUUACCUAGCGCGCAUGAGGCCCUGGGUUCAAUCCUUAGCACCACACACACUAAAGGAUAUACUUUAUUAUGAGUAUUUAUAACAAAAGUCUUUUCAUCUGUUGAAAUCAGGAUCUCUGCAAAAUUUUAGCAAGAACUCAUUAAUUUGUAUCUGCGAGAUAACUUUGUAUUUUGACUUCAUAAUCUAAAUGAAAGUGGGAGUGAAGGUAGAUUUGAGAAGAAAGUUUCUCUUAGACCAUUAAUAUUAUUGUGGUAUAAGAAACUUUUUGCCAGGGAGAAUUUUCUAAGUCCUUUCCAAAAUUAUAAAACAUUUUUCACCAAAUAGAGAAUUGAUGUCUUUAUACUUCUCAUGUCUUAACUACUUUUUCCUACACUAGGUCAAUUUAUUUCAAAUUUUAUCAGUAAUUUAUUAAACAACUACUAUGUGCAGGGCAUGUGCUAAUGUACUGAAUAGAUCGAGUAUAGUCCUACACUCAGCUCUCUCAAGUAAGGAUAAACAUGUAAAUAGGUAACUCUUAAUGGUGUGGUAAGAGCACUAAGCUCAUUUAAUCUUAGCCAUGCCCAUUCAUUCAUAUAAGAAACAUUGACCACCACUAAAUAUGACAUGGAGACACUGGAAUAUUGAUUAAUAAGUUCUGUAACCUCAAGGAGUUCACAUUCUAGUACUGGGAUCAGGAGGAGAGAAAAGGACAGACAAAAAGCAAGUAAAUAAAGAGCAAUUAUAGACAGCACUAAGUAAUUUGAGAGAGAAUGAUGUUGUAGAAUGUAACAGGAGUAGAGAAGGACCUCAAGGUGUUCAAAGAAUGUUGCAGGAUAAAUUGGGGGCAAGGAAAAUGUACAGUCUAUUUAGAAAUCUUGGUCACAAUGGGUAAAAGGAAAUUUGAGAAAUGUAGUGGUUAGUACCAAACUGUAUCAGAGGAUGAAGGCCAUCCAUAAACCUCCACACAACCUGAGCUGGUGCAUAAACCUCUGGCUUCUCAGAUCUGGUAGUGUGAAUAGGAGGUGAAGUGGAGACAUGUUUGUAUAUGAAUAUUCUGAGAAAUUUUGCUCUGAAAAAUGAGAUGCUGUAGUAGUAGUAGGGUUAAGAGGAGUCUUAUAAAUUGGGAAAUUCUAGAGUGUCUUCGUAUGCUCAUGGGAAUAGCACGUCAGUGAUACAUGUAGGGAAAGAGGAAAUGACUAAAAAAAGCAGGAGUUAGAAGGCCAAUGAGGAUGAGAUCAGGUACAAGAGGGAUGGCCUUGGAUGGAGACAGGGCAAUUUGUUUUGUAUAGCAGGAGACCACAGUGUGUGUGCAGGCAGAUUGAUAGAUGUAGAUUCGAGAAAGUGAGAUUAUCACCUGAGAGUAGGGAGGAAUAGAACAGGUUUAUGGUUGAGCAGAAAGAGGAAUGAAAUAAUCUGAGAUGGAAAGUCAACCUAUGAAGAAGAGUAGGAAUGACAGGAGUACUUAAAUCUGUUUGAGAUCUUUGGCUGUGAAUUUAAAAAGCAAAUAGCACAUUUGUGUGAUCCUCCCCCCAAAAUUCAGCUGCUGGAGUAGACAAAGUGAAUGUAGGAGUUAAUCAAGGUUGGGGAUGAGUACAAAGAAGAACACUAGAAGAGCAAGAUACUUGAGAACAUUUGCAAAGUAAUCACAAUGGGUCAUGAACCGAAGGUGAGGACCUGGGUUGAGAUACAAGGGCAUUGUGGAUCAUGAAGAAUGAUCAGUGAAUUAGAGUGGAGCUCAAAGGAUUUUUUUGCAGCCGUAGUGAGAUGCUUGAAGGCAAAAGUGGUGUAGGCACAGGUGGUAAUAAGGUCAAGGGUGGGUGGCUGAAGUGAAAUGGAGGUUAUGGGGAUCAAGAAAGUCAAGGAACUGAGAGGUCAGUGUUGAAGUUACUGGGAGAAAGACUGAGCCAGGAGCUAAAGUCCUCAGUGAAUCAGGUCGGGUUAGUAGAUACCGAUGCUGAGGAGGAGCUAUGGAGGCUAAUAGUGAACUAGCUGCUGGUGUGAGCUUCUUCAGGACUGGAGUAUUUGAAAGGGGAAGGAGAAGACAUAAUUUGGAAGUUGCAUUGAGGAGCAGGGAACACACUUCUUGCUUUUGAGAUGGAGUAUGGAGAGAUCUAAAAAUAAAGCCCUUGAGAAGGUUGUGGAAGAAACUGCAUCAUUAGGGAAUAGCCAGGUUUCUGUGAAGAUAAUCAAAAAGGAGGUUGAAGUUACAGGUGGGUGUAAGUAUAGUUUCAGAGAGUAUACCAAAAGGACUUGAGAGGAAGUAGGGGAUUGGGUCCAACUAGGAGAUAAAAGCAUCAGUGAUAAUGGACAACCUAGGGGUCAUUGAGUUUUUGCUGUAACUCAGGUAAACAAGAAUAGCAGAUGUGGUGGGAUUAAUUUCCAGUGAGCUGGUUGUGGAAGGUAGACCAUCAAUUAACCUUAGUUUGCUGAUGACCUUGGGUAGGUGGUGAGAGAUCAUAAGUAAUUCAGUGAUCUCUUACUUGCCUAGUUAGCCAGGAAAGGCUGAUUUUAUCUUAAGGAGCUAAAUUCUGAAAUAUUGCUCUGGAGUUGAACUUUGUUAAUAAAUACUUUUGUGACAUUUGUUCACUAAUACACAGUUCUAGGUCCUAAAUCCCCAUAGAUGUGUCCCUGAUAUAUCUUUUAGAAAUGCAUGUAGUAGGCAUCUCAACAUGCAUUCCAACAGGAAUGUGUGUCAGGUUUUGUUUUAGGAAUUGCAAAUAUAAGAUACAACCUCUGUUUUUUAGUUACUAUGUGCCUGAGCAAGGGUUGUGAACAUUUAACUCUGUAAAGUAUGUGAAUUUCUAUAUGUGUAUGUAUUUUGGGGGUUUCUUAGUGUUUUGAGGAUUGUGGAGGGAAAAGGCGGGUCCAUAGCUUUUUAUCAGAUUCUUGAAGGGGUCUAUUUAUUUAAGGACCUCUGGGCUAAUAGGAGAGAAAGACAUGUUAACCAGUCACUGUGGUGCAAUGUAAUCAAUGUCAUCAUAGAGCAAGGUAAAGGGGGAACAGAUUGACCUUGAGGAAUGAGUUCAUUAUUUCAGUAAAUGGUUUCAUUUAGAAGGAAUUUAGAUGUGGUAGUCUCUGUUCUAGGUAAUUUACUUAUUAUUUGAAAUCUCCAAUAUCCUUUUUACAUAAAUAUUAAUCACAUAGGAGUACCUUCAAAUCUGGAUCUGUCUGAUUCCAAAAUCUCCUUUUCAUUUCAUCAUGUUGGGGAAACACUGAAAGACUGUAAACAAGAGUGUAGGAUUAUGCUUUCAUUGUUAAGCUUGAUAAUAACAGAAGUGGGUCUUAAAAAAUAUUUGCUUUCCAUCUUUAUGGAAUUUCUGUGCACUUACAAAUUUGAAAUAAUUUGUCUAUUAUAUGUUAGAAUGUGCUUUUGUUUAAUUAUAUUUUUCUUUUGAAGGGACCUUUUUAGGUUACUGUUACUCAAACCAAAAGAUGACAUCUAUUAUCAAAUUAACUACCCUCUCUGGGGUCCAAGAGGAGUCUGCUCUUUGCUAUCUUCUCCAGGUUGAUGAGUUUAGAUUUCUGUUGGACUGUGGCUGGGAUGAGCACUUUUCUAUGGAUAUUAUAGAUUCCCUGAGGAAGUAAGUUACAUUUCAUAUUUCAAGACUUUUAU
rnacentral:lncRNA from 1 species